UGGGGAAUAUUGCACAAUGGGCGAAAGCCUGAUGCAGCGACGCCGCGUGCGGGAUGAAGGCCUUCGGGUUGUAAACCGCUUUUAAUUGGGAGCAAGCGAGAGUGAGUGUACCUUUUGAAUAAGCACCGGCUAACUACGUGCCAGCAGCCGCGGUAAUACGUAGGGUGCAAGCGUUAUCCGGAAUUAUUGGGCGUAAAGAGCUCGUAGGCGGUUUGUCACGCCUGGUGUGAAAGUCCAUCGCUUAACGGUGGAUCUGCGCCGGGUACGGGCAGGCUAGAGUGCAGUAGGGGAGAUUGGAAUUCCCGGUGUAACGGUGGAAUGUGUAGAUAUCGGGAAGAACACCAAUGGCGAAGGCAGAUCUCUGGGCUGUUACUGACGCUGAGGAGCGAAAGCAUGGGGAGCGAACAGGAUUAGAUACCCGUGGUAGUCCAUGCCGUAAACGGUGGAUGCUGGAUGUGGGACCCUUCCACGGGUUCCGUGUCGGAGCUAACGCGUUAAGCAUCCCGCCUGGGGAGUACGGCCGCAAGGCUAAAACUCUAAGUGAAUU
rnacentral:rRNA from 1 species